UAUAUUUAAACAGGGAGAGUUUGGAGUGAAUAUUUUUAAAGAAAACAGUUUAACCUUUCUAUAUUGCUCAUCAUAGGGAUGGUGCCAAUGGAGAGGCUAGUGGUAGUAUCCGGUACUAUUUGACCCAACUAUUCGGUGUAGGGCAUAUUAAGGACGACAUAAGAGGGAGGCUAGUGGUAGUACCUCGUGCCCCUUCCAACUCCACCGGAUAGGGAGCAAAUAGAGUAUAAAGCAUAGAAAAGUAAAACCAAAAAGAAAUAAAGAUCAGAAUGUUCACUGAGUGCUUAAAGGAAGAAAUUCAAAAAUGAGGAAAUGAAUGACAAGAUAAAUGAAAGUAUAUAAGAAGCUUGUGGAAAGCCAAAUAAAGUUUCGAUCACUUGAAAACACACCUUAAGGAUAAAAUCAGU
rnacentral:lncRNA from 1 species